UCGUCCGAGAGUUUUAGAGGAGGUACGUUCGCGUGAAUUUUUUGCACUUUUUGUCUCGGGUGAGCGCUGUUUCGGAUUGUUCAGUUUCGGAUUCUGUGGGACGUUUGUUUGCUACUGCUUCUUUUAUAUUGGAUUUCUGCUGCUUCUUUUUGUUUAGAUUGGGUCUGCUGUUCGGUUUCGGAUUCUGUAGGGCAGAGAUUGUUCGGUUUCGGAUUCUGUGGGGCUUUUGCUGCUGCUUCUUUUAUAUUGGAUUUCUGCUGCUUCUUUUUGUUCGGAUUGGGUCUGCUGUUCGAUUUCGGAUUCUGUAGGGUGGAGAUUUUUCGGUUUUGGAUUCUGUGGGACGUUUGUUUGCUACUGCUUCUUUUAUAUUAGAUUGAGUCUGCUGCUUCUUUCUGUUUUUAUAUUGGAUUCGACUCAUCUCGGGUUGAAUGGAUUGGGUCUGAUUGGAUUUUAUAUUAGAUAGGGUUUGUUUUUAUAUUAGAUUGUUCGGUUUCGAAUUGGGUCUAUUUUAAGCCAAGUACCUAAUUGAUGCAUUUAGAUUGGCGAACUCGGAAUUGGCUGAAAUUUGGUCAGCUGUGUGGAAACGGGCCGCUGAUCAAUACAUAUGGCUAUGCCAUGAUGGACGUCAUUUUUUUGCGUUUCGGAGUUGUUUAGAUAGGUUUUCGAGCAGAAACACAUCGUGUUUCAUAGAUUUUUAGUCCAGUUUAAAUAUCGUGUGAAAGAUACAUGAUACACAUUGUGUUUCACAUGGAACUGCUUUCUAAUAUUCAUUAACAGAUUUUGGAACAGAGGGUUCUAGUUCUUGAUUGCCAAAUAUGCUCCCCUUUUAUUUAUAUCUAGGUGUGAAAAUAUCCUAGUUUGAUCAUGUCAUGUAAUAUGCUCUCCAUCAUUCAUUCUCCUGUUUUCUUCUUAGAUAAUAAUCACCAGAAAGUUCUUCACUUCACUAGCUUUUUGAAUGUUUUUGUAGGCAGAGGUAACAACUGUUAUUUGUGGCAAAAAAAGCUAAAGAAGCUCGUAGACAUUUCCGGACAACUUGCUAUUUAUCAAAGGCGAUAGCAAGUUUAUUUCGUUUUCUCAAGUUUAUCUCUUGCUCUCUGAAACAAAAUGGUAAGCUUCAUGAUGUACGUCAUUAUGUGUCCCUAAUACAUGUUCAUAUUUUUUAAGAUAUUUGUCUAACCUUCCUACUUGUCAGUAUAAACAUGGAGGUUACAUGCAUGGUGCAGUUUCACAAAGAAGAGCAGCCCCUUCCCCUUCCUCGUCCCCGUCCCCGUCCCUUUCCUCUUCCCCUGCCCUUUCAUGUUUCCCUCAACCACUACAUGCUGAUGGAUAAUAUGGACACAUUGGCCCUUCCUUCGACCCUCAAGAACAUGUUAGGGGACAACUUGGACACAUGCGAACUGAAUCUACUUUAGGUCCAUGUCCUUCAGUUCCAUCUCCUUCAGUUCCACCUUCUUCUUCAGUGUAACACUCGAAUGAUGAGGGAAAUACAGGUGAAGAAGAUAGCCGAUUCAUAAUAUGCCCAUAUGGAGAUUCGUAAGUACUUCAUUUUUUUAAGUAUAUGUAAUAUUUAGGGUUUUAGAUAUGGAUGUCAACUGAAUUGUCCAUGUUGCAAAUUAUCUGUAUGCUUCAUUAUUUCAUUGUCCAUAUUGUUCUUUCUAACCUGUUUGCAGAUUCAUGAAUGCUAAGUAUGUUGUGAGGCAACUUAAUAAAAUAGUCAAUAACUCUUGGAGGGAGCAGUAUAUUAGUUACAGCAACGCUCCAAAAGAAGUAAAUGAUUUGUGGUGGAAUGAGUUCAAGGUAAGUUUUGUUCUUCUAGGUGUUUCUAGUGGCCGUGUUAGGGAUCGGAUCAUACCCUCUUAUUAGUACUUUUAAUUGUCAGAAGUGGGAAGUCCCACAUCAAGUAGUAAUGGAUAUGAACUUUAGAAAAUCCAUUGCCGAAUUGUCUGGUGCAUGGUAAUGGAUAUGUGACCCUCAUAAUAACUUUCAGUUGUUUUUCUAUUGAUGCAGCGGAAGUUCAGGUGCGAUGAAACGGAAGAGGAUAAAGUUAAAAGAAUUUUUAAGAAGAAAGUCGGUGAUCACAUACGAAAUGUGAUGAAUAAAGCAAAGAUAAGUCAAGUAAAGCCAGAUUUUAUUACGGGUGACAAUUGGACAGAAAUUAAGAGAACUUGGGAAAUUGAAAGAAUAAGCAAAUGAGUGAACAGAAUAAGAUGAAUCGUGCUUCUAGUUCUUGUGAAGGGUCUGCCACAUAUGCUGGGGGCUCUAUCAACAUCGGGGAGCAUAGAAAAAGAAUGGAAAGUCUGUUAAACAUGUUGUAAGUUAAUUUAAUUCAAUUACUCAUUUAUGUUUAUAUUUUGUAGGCAGAUGAAUUGGGGACGGAACCGACAUAUACAGCUACAUUUGAACGCACAUUUCAAAAAGAUAAGACAUGGACUGGUGAUCGAGCAAAAGCUAUUAAUGUAUGUAAGGUUAUACUUGAAGGUAUGUAAGUUUAUGGAAACUAGAAUGAAAACCAUGAAUGCUUUUAAUAUUUAUGGUAGUUAUAUAUAUGAAGUUAUUUUAUUUUUAUCUAUAUUGUUAAUGUUGGAAAAAUAUGAUGAACUUUUAAUGAGUACUGCUAAUGGUAGUGGUGGUGAUGGUGUUGCUGCGUCUGAGCCAUUAGUUGACAGUAUUGCAUUAUGGGUGGAGGCAUCGGGUGGGAUGAAAAGAGGAAAAAUAUUUGGGAUGGGAUCCUUGUCAAGGGUAUACACAACGCAGGCUGCUGUGACUUCAUCCUCCAAUGCGGCUGUUUGAAGGAGGACACGACUUGAGAAGCAAAUGACCCAAGAAUUGAGCAAACCGAAACAUUUACUUUUAGAGAAGGAUGAAGAAAUAAGAGUGGUCAAACAACAAAUGCAAUAGACCUUGCGACACCUUAACCUUGAUCACGAUGAGGUUCCUCUUGUGCCUCCGACUAAUCCAAUAGGUGAUGGCCACAAUGAUGAGCGACAUGAUGAUGAUGACAUUGCUGACGAUGAUAAUGAUUUUGUCAGUCCUUGCUAGUUAAAAUUUCCAUUUUCAUAUCAUUAUAAUAUUUUUAAGCACUAAAUUUUGAGCACUAUGUAUUUCAUCAUCAUAUCAUUAUGUAUUUAAGCACUAAAUUUUGAUGUUAUUAAGUGCUUAAUCAAUGCUAAAUAAAAA